GUCUCUGAGCUACUACACAGUUUCAGUUGUUAACUCACACUGCAGCCCAGAGACAAGCAGCUGUUUGGAUUGUGAGACAUUAGAGUAGCACAGAUUCUUCAAGUAGUGAAAAAUUACAGAUAGCAAUUGGUUAACUUUUGUAGCAUGGCAGUGGGCUGUCUGGAUCUACAGUUUUUGGGGAAAUUUUGUCUUCGCACUUUAUGAGACUGUGCCUUCUGUGCCUCUUAGCUACUGUGCCAGCCAUUGUGUAAGGGAGGUGGUUAAUACACCUGAAUGAGAAGAUCCUGGGAGGAGACAGGUGUGGGUAAAACUCAGGGCAGGGAAAGAUGAGAUAUGUACAGGACUGCCCAUAAGACAGAACAAAUAAAUAAGAGACACGUUUGUGCCUGAAAGCAUUCUCUAUGUAUAGCCAACAGCUGAACAUCUGGAAUAUAUAAGGUAAUUAGACCCUAUUAUCAACUUUGCUCUUCUGCUUCUCAGAGAUCAACAUACACAAAUCAAGUUAAAGUAAAGGAACCUUAUCAUGAGAUCACCAGAACCCCUUGGCCUCCUCUCCCGCUUUUACAUCUAUGCCAUCCAUGGGUAUGUUUGUGAGAUCCUGUUCACAGCAGUCUGGGACUUUAUAUCCAGUGGUGACUGGAGAUUCAAAGGUGUCACUAGUGUGUGGGCUCUCUUCAUUUAUGGAACAGCUAUGCUGGGGAUUGAACACAUGUACCUAGUGCUGCAACACCGCUGUAAUACUGUCACUCGCUGUCUCCUCUACACACUGUGGGCCUAUCUAUGUGAACUGAGCUCUGGCUGUAUCCUAAAGGGACUUGGUGCCUGCCCCUGGGAUUACAGCAAUUUUCACUAUAAUUAUCAAGGUCUGGUAACCCUGGAGUAUGCUCCUUUCUGGUUCAUGGGCUGCAUAAUACUGGAGAAAUUGCUUAUUUGGCACACAUUGCGUUUGCGUCUGGAUGAUACCUGGGAGCCACAGAGAAGAAGGCAAGGUGCAAUGAAGACCAAUUAAGAUGAGCAUUCACUGAGAAAUUGAAAGCUGAUGAAAGCCACCAAUGAAGGAUUGGGUUUGUGGGCCACACCAGGAGUCUUUUGUAGGACUUUGACCCACUUCCCCAAAACAAUAGCACAUUUAGGUGUUUGAAAUACUGGGCACAGUGAACCAAUGCCUUACAUUGUUUACAACCCUUAAUUUGUUGCCCGAAGCACAAUUAGAUAUGGUCUGUCACUAUACAGAGCUGAUGCAAAAGACUCUUUCAAAGACUUUCCUUUUCAUUUAAUGCUGUCAGCCUCACUCUAAUACACACACAAUAAUAGUGUUUCCUGCUGCAAGUAGCACCAGUAUGAUGUGAAAGGUAUUUAUACUGACAUUUUAGGGAUUUUAUAGCCAGCGGAACUUUAACUUAUUACAAAAAGCUAUCAGAGAGUCCUGACAAAAAGGAACUAUGAUCCAUCACCAGAUAUUAUAAGAGAGGCCAUGAAUUUUCACUUUUCACAAUUUUUUGAUGAUUUACUAGCAUUGACACACUAUAAUAAACUUUGUUUAUAGAGUUCUUAAUGGAUAGAAACAGUUAUUAUUUAUUUAUAAGCCUUUAACUGUACAUUUCAGCUGUUAAAUAUAAUACUUCUCCAGGUGACUAAUAGCAACAUAUAGGACAUGCUUGUUGGAAUUAUUGGUCUCAACUUUUUUCCACCAAGGCCUUUUAUGCUUAUUAUAUUCUUGACCCCAGCCUCAUCUACAAAACUUUUUGAAAUGACAAAGACAUAUACAAUUAUUAUUAAUAAAUAUAUUCUCACUUUGUUUCCACAAAGAAAUUGUAACUGUAAUGCAAAGUUUUGUCUUAUAAAUACAAAAGAAUGUUUUUUAGACCAACUAACAUUGGGGUCACAAGCCAUUUCCGUGACCUGGAAGAGAAAACUGGCAACUAGUGCCUUUAGACCUCCACACAACUACAAGGGAAUCUAACAAGUAAGUCUAGUUAAGUUAUAAGGCUAGUUGUUAAGUUAAAAGGUAGGCAGUAAACUUCAUUGUUCAACAUAAGUGCAUUGAAUAGGACUUGUACUGAACAUACUUUUUGCAUAUUUUUUUAAUUAAAAAAUAAAUCAGUUUUUUUUAAUUGGUAACUUAAUCAUGGAUUAGCUUCAGUUUCCCUAUUUCACAGAAACCUAUGUAAAAUAAAGUGGAAAACUGUUCCUUUAAAAAAUUCCAGGGCCUCAAAACAAUGCAGCGCUUAAAGCUGGACAGCCUGGACCUCCCAGCACCUUAUUUUUAAAUUGUCUAAUAAAGAUGGAUUUGUUUUAA